rnacentral:sRNA from 1 species
GAUUAAUCAAGGUUAGUAAGAGCAGGAGAAACUGUUAUGUAUACAGACGUCGUAGUGAUCGCCGGUAUUGGAACCGUUGUAUUGAUGCUGGGCUUUUUUGUGGGAGUUGGCAUCUUUGUCAUGAAAGAUCAAAAACACCAGCAUGGGAAAGCACCCAAGAAGUGAUCGACGUGGAGGGCAGCGACACUGAGUGUGCUUGCUG